rnacentral:rRNA from 1 species
GACGUAGGGCGCGAGCGUUGUCCGGAUUUAUUGGGCGUAAAGAGCUCGUAGGCGGUUCGGUAAGUCGAAUGUGAAAUCUCCACGCUCAACGUGGAGGGGUCAUUCGAAACUGCCGUGACUUGAGUACGGUAGGGGAGUGUGGAAUUCCCGGUGUAGCGGUGAAAUGCGCAGAGAUCGGGAGGAACACCCGUAGCGAAGGCGGCACUCUGGGCCGAUACUGACGCUGAGGAGCGAAAGCGUGGGGAGCAAACAGG